UACGUAGGGGGCAAGCGUUGUCCGGAUUCAUUGGGCGUAAAGCGCGUGUAGGCGGCCAGGUAGGUCCGACGUGAAAACUGGAGGCUCAACCUCCAGCUGUCGUUGGAAACCAUCUGGCUAGAGUCCGGAAGAGGAGAGUGGAAUUCCUGGUGUAGCGGUGAAAUGCGCAGAUAUCAGGAAGAACACCAAUGGCGAAGGCAGCUCUCUGGGACGGUACUGACGCUGAGACGCGAAAGCGUGGGGAGUGAACAGG
rnacentral:rRNA from 1 species